UGGGGAAUUUUGGACAAUGGGCGAAAGCCUGAUCCAGCAAUGCCGCGUGUGUGAAGAAGGCCUUCGGGUUGUAAAGCACUUUUGUCCGGAAAGAAAUCCUUGGCUCUAAUACAGUCGGGGGAUGACGGUACCGGAAGAAUAAGCACCGGCUAACUACGUGCCAGCAGCCGCGGCAAUACGUAGGGUGCAAGCGUUAAUCGGAAUUACUGGGCGUAAAGCGUGCGCAGGCGGUUUGCUAAGACCGAUGUGAAAUCCCCGGGCUCAACCUGGGAACUGCAUUGGUGACUGGCAGGCUAGAGUAUGGCAGAGGGGGGUAGAAUUCCACGUGUAGCAGUGAAAUGCGUAGAGAUGUGGAGGAAUACCGAUGGCGAAGGCAGCCCCCUGGGCCAAUACUGACGCUCAUGCACGAAAGCGUGGGGAGCAAACAGGAUUAGAUACCCUGGUAGUCCACGCCCUAAACGAUGUCAACUAGUUGUUGGGAUUCAUUCCUUAGUAACGUAGCUAACGCGUGAAGUUGACCGCCUGGGGAGUACGGUCGCAAGAUUAAAACUCAAAUGAAUUGACGGGGUCAUAGCUG
rnacentral:rRNA from 1 species